CGGCUGCCGCUGCGCCUGUGCGUGCUAUCCGGUUGGCUGCGUAAACGCGCUCGCGCAGCGGCACUACUAGGAUGACAGCUCAGACCUGUCCACGUCAACAGCGAACACAGACGCGAUGGAUUCCAUGUCCAUGGAGCCGUCCCUCUACACAGUGAAGGCUCUCUUCAUCCUCGACAACGAUGGCAACAGGUUGCUGUCAAAGUAUUACGACCCUGAGCUGUACCCUUCUAUGAAGGAGCAGAACAACUUUGAGAAGAAUGUUUUUAACAAGACCCACAAGGCAGACAAUGAGAUAGCGUUCUUGGAGGGGAUGACCGUGGUCUAUAAGAGCAGCAUAGAUCUCUUCUUCUACGUGGUUGGCAGCCCGCAGGAGAAUGAGUUGAUGCUGAUGUCGGUGUUGAACUGCCUGUUUGACGCACUCACUCAGAUCCUCAGCAGCUGUGCUGGCUGCCAUGGAAACCGAUGUGGUAGCAAUGCAGGGGGAUGGGGAAAGAAUGUGGAGCGCAGAUACCUCCUAGAGAACAUGGAAGGAGUGUUCCUGGUGGUGGACGAAAUCAUCGAUGGCGGGGUCAUCCUGGAGAGCGACCCACAGCAGGUUCUGCAGAAGGUCAACUAUAAGCUGGUGUCAGAACAGGCCUAUGGCUUCGUCUUGUUUGAUUACAUCACCGGUAGCCUAGAGGGAGUGGCAGAGAGAGGUCAACUGCUGUAGACAGUUGAAGAGGUCGGAUGAGAGCCCAUUAUCGGAACAGAGUGUGGCCCAGCAUAUAACAGAAAAACUGGCUCUUACUACGAAUGUGAUACAAUCGGCAAAGGACCAAAUUAAAUGGUCUAUCCUGAAAUAAAGGCCUAUAUGGAUCAAAGGAACGAUACUGCAAGAUAUAGGAAAAAUAUGCUACAAGAAGCAAACCCUUUAUUUUCUUACUGCGCUAAAGGGACGUUCAGUUUAUGGGCUUUCAUGCUGGUACCUAAAAUGAUUGUAGCUAAAAAAUAUUUUUUGCUAUACAAUUAUAUUUGUAUGUUUUGUAUGUAUAGUUGGAUUUGUUUAAUUUAUUGGAGUUUAGGGAUGACUGUAUUGGUCUCUAAUCGAGAUGUGGUUCAUUUAAAUAAAAAAAUAAGUAGAAAAGCAUAUGAAAUAAAUAAGUUUAAAAUCAUAUCUAAAGCAUUAACCUUAAACGAAUAUAGUUACUUUUGAAGAAAAUGUAGUUCCAUAACAUUAAGGCGGCCUGUUUUUGAACAUUAUUACUGAAGGCUGUUAUGAUAUUUAAAAAAUAUAUAUUUGUUAGUGAAGGAGGUUGCGAUAACAUUUUCUGAAGUAAAAAUAUAAAAAGUAAUAACAUGAUUAUUACAUAAAUCAUAAACGCAUUAUUUCAUAUGAACAGGCCUAUAUGUGUAAUACAUUUGUUUAUGUAGUUUGACAUUUGCAUGUUAAUAUAUUAUUUUUUCACCGUUUCCCAUUGUUCGAUCAAAUAGCCUACUGAAAUUAUUCAAAGAGUUUGAGGGAAAGGUUGACAGGUUAUUUGUGUGUUUUUUUUGUUAAGAAUGUAAUGUGUUACUGUUUGCACUUUUUGCUUUUCAUGUGGAUUAAAUUGUUUCUAUUUUUUUGCUAAGUAAUUAAUGCAUUUGUAGAUCAUCUAGCAUAUUGGGGACAUUCAAUAUCGAAAAAAAACUAUUUGUUGCCAAAAUUAUAGAAUAAUGUAGUAUAUUUUAGUAACAAAACGGUCAUUUAUAUUACAUUUUAUAUAUUUUUAGUUAAAGCCGAAUACAUUAUGCUUUGUUUAUGUGAUUUCCUGAUAACGAAUUUGGCAUAUGAGAUUUGUGAAACGACAAAUAAAUAAAAACAAUGCAAGUCUUUA